GAGUCUCCACCCUCCUCAUAUUGGCUUUGUCAUCUCCUCAUUAUAAGAUAGCCAUGGGAGCACCAACUUUGUAAUGCAGCACCAAACUUUCUGCCUUAAAGACAAGGAAGGAAAAGUGGUGAUGGCUUAUCUUGGAUUGGAUUCACCUCAAUACAGGCCCUGAGACAAGGACACAAACAAAGAUAGUUUGUGAAGAAACUGGUGGAAUAGUGGGAAAGUGAGACAGGAAAUGGGGGGGGGGGGCUGGCUAAUCAGUAAAGGAUUCAUUAUUAAGCCCCUUUACUCGUUAGGGUUACUGAAGCUGGUCCCACUGGGAAGCUCCUAACCAGUAUAGAACAUGUGACUUAAAAUCAUCCUACCUGAAGGACAAAAGCUGGAUAUUUACAUCUCCUUUUAGUCAUUGAUUGAGUGUUCCUAUCGGAUUCGUUAACCACUGAGCCACAAUGGGAACUCCUAAGGUUUUUUUUUUUAAUGGCUGUACCCACUGUACCAGGCUAGGGUUCGAACCCACACCUCCUCAGCAACCUGAGCUGCUGCAUUUGGAUUCUUAAUCCCCUGUGCCACAGCGGGAACUCCAAAAUAAUGUUUAUUACCACAAAAUCUGUGGUAAUUUGUUGCAGCAGAAAUAGAAGAUUAACAUAAAUUGCAUGCAGAUCUAGGGAACAGCAUAUGGAAAACCUCCAAGACACAAGAUUCCUUGGCUGUUUCUAGGAACAGAAAUAAAGCCAGUAUGACUAGAACAUGGUUGGAGGAGAAGGCCUGUGCCAAACAGCAGAGCACCACCAAUCUUGCUAAGGUUUUGGCCUAGAUCCCAAAAGCAACAGAAUGCUUUUAAGUGUGGGAGCAGCACAAUUAGAUUGUAUUUUAAAGUACUUUGACUAGUCUGUAGAGAAUAGAUUGAAGGUAGGGACAACUGAGGUUAUUUAUAUUUAUCCAGAAAGAUGAUGAUAGCUUGGAAUAGGGUAAUUGGAAAGAAAUGGAGGAGAGAGUCCAUCCUAAGAAUACUUUCGAAGUAGAAAAAAAAAACACAGGACUUAGUUGAUGGGUAUGCAGAGAAAAGAUGGUUUUAGAGCUGUGAUUUGCACAACUGGGUAAAUGGUGGUACCAUUCACCAAUAUAGGGAUCAUUUAAAGGAGGACUAGAGAGAAAUGUAGUCAGUAGUGACAAGUACUAAUUUAGAAGUGCUCCACUUGCGGUACCUGAGAGGUAACCAAAGAGUUGUUGAUUAGGCAGUUGUUUAAAGCUCAGAAGAAAGUUCUGGACUGGAAACGUUAAUAUGAAAACAAUUUUUAGUAUGCUAGCUCUUUGCCUUAUAGGGAAAAGAUAACUGCUAAACGUUUAGCAUUACAAGUUCCAGACAUAAAGGAGGAGGAAAGAACCAGUUCCUUCAACUGUCCUCUUAUCAGAAAAAGCAAAAACUUUCCAGAAACCCCUACAGCUAACUUUAUAUUUGGUCUCAUUACCCAAAACUCUUACAUGGCCUCCUCCAAGAAGCCUUAAGCCUCAGAAAGAAAUCCUGUAUUUCACUUUACAGCCUCUAAGGUAGAAGCACUAGCUAGCAGUGAGUAUUGAGUUUAUUUACAGUAGUUACUGUAAGUGGUAAAUGAAGCCAUGAGAUUGCAUAGGGAGAGGGAAUACAAUGAAGAGAAAAAAACCAAAGAGAGCCUCAAGGAACCCUUAACCUCUAAAAUUUGAAUUGAGGAGGAGAGGUUACCCCAGAGUUUAAAAAAUACGAUGAGAGAAGGAGGAGGGAUUUGGGUACCAUUUAAGUCAAGGAAAUAGAAAUUAAAAAGGAUGAAAAAUAUACUUGUUGAGUGCUAAGAGGUCAACUAAAUUGAGGUCUAUCCAAUAUUCAUUAGAUUUAGUACAUGGAGGUCAUGAAGGAGGAAUUGGGGACACUGAAGCCUCAUUGCAGUAGAGAGAAAAGCAUUUAUAAUAGAAAUGUUUAAAGUAGAAAACAGUUUUUUGGAAUUCCCGUCAUGGCGCAGUGGUUAACGAAUCUAACUAGGAACCAUGAGGUUUCAGGUUCGAUCCCUGGCCUUGCUCAGUGGGUUAAGGAUCUGCCGUUGCUGUGAGCUGUGGUGUGGGCCGCAGACGCAGCUCGGAUCCUGCGUUGCUGUGGCUCUGGUGUAGGCCGGUGGCUACAGCUCCAAUUGGACCCCUAGCCUGGGAACCUCCAUAUGCCGCGGGAGCAGCUGAAGAAAAGGCAAAAAGACAAAAAAAAAAAAAA
rnacentral:lncRNA from 1 species